rnacentral:rRNA from 1 species
AGUGAACGCUGGCGGUAGGCCUAACACAUGCAAGUCGAACGGCAGCACAGUAAGAGCUUGCUCUUACGGGUGGCGAGUGGCGGACGGGUGAGGAAUACAUCGGAGUCUACUUUUUCGUGGGGGAUAACGUAGGGAAACUUACGCUAAUACCGCAUACGACCUACGGGUGAAAGCAGGGGAUCUUCUGACCUUGCGCGAUUGAAUGAGCCGAUGUCGGAUUAGCUAGUUGGCGGGGUAAAGGCCCACCAAGGCGACGAUCCGUAGCUGGUCUGAGAGGAUGAUCAGCCACCCUGGAACUGAGACACGGUCCAGACUCCUACGGGAGGCAGCAGUGGGGAAUAUUGGACAAUGGGCGCAAGCCUGAUCCAGCCAUACCGCGUGGGUGAAGAAGGCCUUCGGGUUGUAAAGCCCUUUUGUUGGGAAAGAAAAGCAGCAGGUUAAUACCCCGCUGUUCUGACGGUACCCAAAGAAUAAGCACCGGCUAACUUCGUG